rnacentral:piRNA from 1 species
UGCAAAAUGUCAAGGCCUCCUCAACCCCUA